UUCGUCCCCCCAGCGCCCCGACAGCCCCCGGGGAGGCUCCUCUGGCAGAGAAGAAAUACAAACCCCUGAACACGGCCCCGAAUGCGGCCAAGGAGAUCAAAGUGAAAAUCAUCCCCCCACAGCCCAUGGAAGGCCUCGGCUUCCUGGACGCCCUCAACUCCGCGCCCGUCCCCGGCAUCAAGAUCAAGAAAAAGAAAAAAGUUCUGUCCCCGACGGCAGCCAAGCCCAGCCCCUUCGAGGGGAAGCCGGCGCCGGAGCCCAGCGCGGCCAAACCGUCGUCA